AUUGAACGCUGGCGGCAUGCCUUACACAUGCAAGUCGAACGGCAGCGGGGGAGAAGCUUGCUUUUCCUGCCGGCGAGUGGCGAACGGGUGAGUAAUACAUCGGAACGUGCCUUGUAGUGGGGGAUAACUAGUCGAAAGAUUAGCUAAUACCGCAUACGACCUGAGGGUGCAAGUGGGGGACCGCAAGGCCUCAUCCUAUAGGACCGGCCAAUGGCUGAUUAGCUAGUUGGUGGGGUAAAGGCAUACGAAGGCGACGAACAGUAGCUGGUCUGAGAGGACGAUCAGCCACACUGGGACUGAGACACGGACCAGACUCCUACGGGAGGCAGCAGUGGGGAAUUUUGGACAAUGGGCGAAAGCCUGAUCCAGCAAUGCAGCGUGUGUGAAGAAGGCCUUCGGGUUGUAAAGCACUUUUGUCCGGAAAGAAAUGGCUCUGGUUAAUACCUGGGGUCGAUGACGGUACCGGAAGAAUAAGGACCGGCUAACUACGUGCCAGCCGCCGCCGUAACAC
rnacentral:rRNA from 1 species